rnacentral:rRNA from 1 species
UACGGAGGAUGCGAGCGUUAUCCGGAUUUAUUGGGUUUAAAGGGUGCGUAGGCGGACUGUCAAGUCAGCGGUAAAAUGGAGAGGCUCAACCUCUUCCCGCCGUUGAAACUGGUGGUCUUGAGUGGAUGAGAAGUACGCGGAAUGCGUGGUGUAGCGGUGAAAUGCAUAGAUAUCACGCAGAACUCCGAUUGCGAAGGCAGCGUACCGGCAUCCAACUGACGCUGAGGCACGAAAGCGUGGGGAUCAAACAGG